AAUGAACGCUGGCGGCAGGCCUAACACAUGCAAGUCGAACGAGUGGCGGACGGGAGAGGAAGGUCUGGGAAACUGCCUGAUGGAGGGGGACAACUACUGGAAACGGUAGCUAAUACAGCAUACACUCAGAUGUGCCCAGAUGGGAUUAGCUAGCUGGUGGGGUAACGGCGCACAAAGGGGACGAUCCCUAGCUGGUCAGGGAGGAUGACCUGCCACACGGGAACGGAGACACGGUCCAGACUCCCACGGGAGGCAGCAGUGGGGAAUAUGGCACAAUGGGCGCAAGCCUGAUGCAGCCAUGCCGCGUGUAUGAAGAAGGCCUUCGGGUUGUAAAGUACUUUCAGCGGGGAGGCGUUACCCGCAGAAUAAGCACCGGCUAACUCCGUGCCAGCCGCCGCGGUAAUUC
rnacentral:rRNA from 1 species